AUCGAUGAGCCUGGUUCUGAUACCAGUUUGUCACGACAAACGCACAAACGGAAACGAAAUGACGAACACAAAAUUAUCAAACCACAAGCAAAAAUGAAAGAAUACACAGAUUUACGUGGAAAAUCCUUUGCAGGAAAAAAACCACGGGCGAGGGAGGAGAGAACUUCACUAUCGAAAACGAAAGGGAAUACAAUGUUCUUCAGAUUACAACCAACCACGAUCACACGUCUCUAGGGCAAAAACGAAGAGAAAAAAAUUCAUAACGGGUUUCGCAUUCGAUCCGUACCGUGGGGGACCCGAGCCCUCCGCUACCCACCACAGACAUUCAUUUUCCCUUCACAAUUUAAUUUCCCAAUUUGGUCGCAUCGCGAAGCUGUCGGUGAGUCGUAAACCCGAACCUGAGUCGAUAAUAGAUUUCGAGUCAUAUCUAACACAAUGAGAAGUCUAUUUUUCUCAAGAGCCCUUCAA
rnacentral:lncRNA from 1 species